AAGGUGUCCAGCGCCGCGACCGGCUGGUCGUCCGCCUCGGCCCCCGCCCGCGUCCCCUUUCCCCCGGGGCGCAGCGCUACGGCGGGCGCGGGCCGCCCGGCGCAUUGUUCGCAGCCUUCGCGGCGGUGCGCUGCUGACUUUAUUUGUGCGCUUUGCGUGUGCGUGAGGUUGCACCUUUUGUAGGCUGGCGAGUCUCUGGACGAGGAUGGGACGGGGGACACGGGCCCAGUUGCGGCCCUGCGCGAGCGGGACCUGUCAGCCCUGAGAAUAAAGCCAAGUUGUGAUUUCGCCUCUACAGACCUCUCUACCCGCCCAGCUCUUCCUCGGAUAUUCUCCUAAACCAGAAGCUGCAGAGAAGGAAGGAUUUGGGAUUUGCGGCUACACAGCCAAGGACGCUUUUGUCAUCUUCAAAGGACCCCCUACACCCUACACGCUUGGCCCGCUCUGUUCAUUGCCAACAGAGUGAUGGUUGAAUGCAUUCACAUGGUUCCAAAUUCAAAUAAACAGCAAGAAGUCUCCCUCCCACCCUGUCUGCCACCCACUUGGUUUUCCUUCUCUGGAGGCAACCUGGGUUAGUGGUCAGAAGAUGCAUUUAACUGUUUUCCAGCUGAGGCCUUGUGAGAACUCCUCGGACACCAAUUUAAAUCUUUAUGUCCAGAACUCCUUUCUCCAAUCCAGAGAUGAGGUUCCACCAUUCUUGCCCAGACUGGUUUCGAACUCCUGGACUCAAGCGAUUUGCCUGCCUCGGCCUCAAAAAGUGCUGGGAUUACAUGCAUGAGCCACCACACCCGGACCCUCUCUCUUAAAUAGUGGCCCUUUUGCCUCUCUGCAACACAGGAAAAAUUCUGUUAGCCUGCAUCAGAAGGAGUGGCAUGGAGGCUUUGGAGUUAAGAAGAUUUAAUUCAAAUUAUGUGUCCGGUGCCUGCCAGCAAUGAGACCUUGGUAAGGUUUCUUAACCUCUCUGAGCUGGGACCAUACCUUCUGCGUUGGUUUAAUAUAAAGGUUAAAUGCAUGUAAAUAAAUGACUUCUAAAAUAAAUAACAUUCUAAAAUGUUAGUAACAACUAAAUACAAUAUUUAGAUCUUGUGAGGAUUUGAUUUGAAUAAAUAAGAUUUUUUUAAAAGACA